CCCCUGUACUUUUGGUGGUUGGAUCAUUUGAAGUGGUGUCUACACUUAUAAAAGUGAGAAGCACCAGAGGGACAGGACUUCUAGAAGUUAGAAUAAUAUGAAGUAAUCAGGAAAUAUCUAUGCCUACAGAAGCAGCAACCGUAAGAUAAACAUUUGUUACACUUAAGAAAUUGCUGAGGUUAAUACUUUGUUAUAAUGGAUUAUAAUAUUUGACAUUCAUAGUGUUGACCCUGGAAUCUUUCACAGAAAGCUUGGGGGUCAGGACCAGGAGGUAGAAUUUUACAAGGCAAUAAAUGAAGGUAUUUUAAGAUC
rnacentral:lncRNA from 1 species